CAAACAAACAAGACCUUCCUAAUGCAAUGAAUGCUGCUGAGAUUACUGAUAAGCUUGGCCUUCAUUCUCUGCGUCAACGACACUGGUACAGCACUAUUUAUCAUAAUGUUCUGUGGAUGUCAAUUUCUUUUUCUUAUUAUGCAAAUUAAAUUGGUUUUGUUUGUGUUUAUAAAGUUCCUGUUAGGAGGAUCGUAUGUAGUCUUAGAUGACAAGGCAUUAUGAUGACUUUGAUAUAUAGGAAAAUUGAUUAUAUGGGCAUGAGCUUGUUUGGGAAGCUCUGUUAAAUUGUAGACAGCUAAGAUAUAAAAGAUCGUGUAUAUUCUUAUACUACAGGAACUUGACGUAUCUGUUGCAUUUAAAAAGAAAUAAGUGCCUGCGUUGGUUUUCUUGGUUAAAGAAUUUGCUUUUGAUUCUUGAUGAGCAUAACCAUGAGUUAGCAUCUGAAGUUACAUAAGAAACAAUAUGAUUCUAUAUAUAUUGUUAAUCUCAGAUGUUUUUUUUUGGGGACAGAAGCUUUAGUUCUGUAUAUGAUGAUGCUUUGUUGUAACUAAUUUGUUUAAUUAGCUGUUUUUGUCAAUUGAUGGAAAUAGGUGUGUUCAUAAUUUCAAAGACAAAUUCAUCAGAUUUAAGAAUAAUAGAAUAUGGAUGCUAAACUUUUAAAUUAGCUUUUUAAUUAGAAGAUAUGCACCUAUGAUUGUGGCUCUGGUUUGGUAGAAAAUAUGCCUUGUUUGAACUGAUUAAGGUGUUCCAUAUGAUAAGUUGAUAUUUGCUUUGCAAGGUUCCAAACAGGGGAAGAACUUAGAUACAUGCUCUUGUUUUCCUUAUUUUUAUCCAUAUCCCCAACAAUGUUGGUAUUUCCAUAUGGUUUUAUUGUGGAUUUAAUUUUUUUUCUAAUUCUUGCUUUCUCAUGGAUGUCAUAUAUGUUUUUUGUCUCAUAAGUAAAUCAAAAUCCCAGGUUGUCGAUGUCAAUCAUAUGAAUCUGAUUUCAUUCUAGGCAUUGAAUUCCCAAUAGAUCCUACAAGAAUGAUCCUUCUGAUUUCUUACUUUGACCUUGGUGUAUCUUACUUUUCUCCGUCUAAUAUAGAAAUCAGUUUCUGCUUGUAUUUGGUCAUUUUGCUUUCUCCAAAUUCCAGAGACAUGGGUGAUAAGCAUACUUUGUGAUGAUCACCAGUGGAUUUCUAUGGUUGAUUUGAUAGUAAGCUUUAGAAGAAGGAUCUGUAAUAGUUCAAUAACCCUAACUUGUCAUCUCGUAUUCCACAUACCACUUUGAUUACAAAAUAUCGGUGAAUUAAACAAAGCAUUCAUGAGUUCAGUAGCAAAUAUAACAUAUACCUCAGCUCAAGGUUUGGAAAACCACCCCGACCAUGGUUCAGGCUGAACCGAGGUAGUCUUGGUUUGCCUGGAAGCAGAACUGUGUAAGUUAGAGGCGAACCACGUCUAAGUUGUUGUCAAUAUGAACCCAAACUGGCUGGUUCAGAACCAGGACUACUUAUUUAAUGAACAGGAGUUCAGGACCCUUUCUCAUCCCCUUCUAGCACCGUUUGAGGAGUGCCAGCCUUCUUGUCCUCUCUCUCGUUGCAGAUAUCAAUUGAGGAGAGCAGGUUGUUGAGGAGCCGGGCCCAGUCGUUUUUAAUUUGGCAUCAAUUUUUUUUUGGAAGAUGAUUUUCCCCCUUUUUCUAUUGUGUUCUGUCUCAAAAAAUUGUUUACUGGUUUUUUGUAUUUUCUGUUAAGUAUGUGAUGUUAGAACUCAAAUUUUGGGAAAAAGACAUUUUAAGUGGUUAAAAAUAUUCUGUUUUAUGCCUCAUUUACAUUGAUUUAUUGCAAAUGGGUUCUCUUUUUAUUGGGUUUCUAUUGUGAUCUUUAUUAGAUGUAGUUCAAUAUGCGUUCUCAAUAAUGUUUAAACUCUUAGAUGCUUGCUUGCAUGCCUGGGUUCUUUGGUUUGAGGAAGAUUGAAUCACUCGAGAGUCUUGGAGUCGGCAACGUGUUGUAGAGGUAUUGUACAUUCAGAAUGGGAUUUUUGGAAACAAUCAUGUAUCCACACAUUUAAUAUUUCUCAGCUAUUCUUUUUUUUCGCUCAUAAGGUAGAUAUCAGUAUAAAAGAAGCCUUGUUCAUAAAGUGAAAAUACAAUAAGCUGAAUCGUUUCUUAUCAUUUUAAAUGAUUGAUUGAUAGUAUUGCAUUGUUUUCUCUGAGUUUAGAUCUUUUUUUCUUUUUACGACUAGAAUGGAUUUGUGGGGGAUUUUCUGUUUUGCAGUUUUGUUUCUUUCUGCUUUAUAUUGAUCAUCUGGAAAUGGAUUUUGUGUGUUGUACUGUGUUGCUUGGUAUGCUAAAAUGCAGAGUCCGAUACUUGCCAGCAUUAUAGUGCCAACAGUUUGACCAAGGGGACUUCAUAGUGAAUGAUUCUUUGAUCACAGAUGGAGGCAGCGUUCUGGACUUUGUAACUUCAUCGAAAUAUUGUAGGGCACCCUAAGAUUAGAAUGUACUGAAAUUUAUACGAGGGGAUUGCACAUGCCCAGUGCAAGUUGGCUCUCAGAGUAGGGGACUGUACAUUUUGACAUACUUUGGAGCAUGUGUAGUUAAUGCUGACAAGUUUGAGCUUGUGACAUCUCCUGUUUAUUACUUUAUUACCUGAGCCUUGCUUGUAUAUUUUGAUGUUGCUCUUCUACCUUCUUCAUAAAGGAAGCAAUCAGCCACUUAUCCAGGUGAUGUAUUAUUUGGUUGCAGGUACAUACAGAGCACUUGUGCUACCUCGGGUGAGGGGUUGUAUGAGGGGCUUGAUUGGCUCUCGAACAACAUCGCCAACAAGGUGCACAUCCAUUCCCUUUUUUUUUUUUUGUUUAUUUAGCCAUAUGUUUAUUAGAAUUGUAUUAUUUAGCUCUUUAACUUAAAUAAUAGCUUGCUGAUAUAGCCAUAUACAUAUAUAUAUAUAUAUAUAUAUAUAUAUAUAUAGUAGUNNNNNNNNNNNNNNNNNNNNAUAUACAUAUAUAUAUAUAUAUAUAUAUAUAUAUAUAUAGAGUGCAUUCAGCCUUUAUACCUUUGUUCUUUUAUUAGCACAAUUCUAUAAUUCAAAUGUUUGCAUAAAAUGAGAUUUUUGGGGCCCUGAUCUGGCAUAUUGGCAUUGUCUUUUUUUAACCAUCCACUCAUGUAUGUGGCACGCAUUGGAAUGCAUAAAUGAGUGUGGCAAAACUCAUGACGUGUUCAGGAUUGAUAUCUGGGUUCCCCUGGAAAGAUUGGAGUUGUGGAGAUUCCGAUUUCGAAUGUUCUAAGCUCUGGCACUUUCUGACUGGAUAUUUUGGUUUCUUUUCCAGGCCUAAAAUUUUCAGCAUGCUGGGUAAAGCGUUUCAAUAUGUUUCUGGAUUACAUAUACCUUUUGCAGUUGUGGUGGGUGGCUUGCUGUGGGAACACUUUGUGGCCAUCAGUUUGUUGGUCGUGGAUAAAUUACCAUCUUUUUCCAAAUUUUCUUUCACUCAUGUUGUAGCGUUCAGAACCUGUCACCGAGUGGGCUUUGGUGUAUUUGACUUAAUGCAGUCUACAGGGU
rnacentral:lncRNA from 1 species